GACCCAAUAGUCUAGUGGUUAAGACAUAAUGUUUUCACCAUUACAUCAGGGGUUCAAAUCCCCUUUGGGUUA
rnacentral:tRNA from 2 species